rnacentral:ncRNA from 12 species
UUACCCUGCCGUGACUGGCGAGUUUUUGCGUGGAACUAACCACGGGGAAGCGGCAGGGGGCUGCACCUGCCGAUCGCCUGGGCGCUUUUC